GACGAACGCUGGCGGCGUGCUUAACACAUGCAAGUCGAACGGAAAGGCCCUGCUUUUGUGGGGUGCUCGAGUGGCGAACGGGUGAGUAACACGCGAGUAACCUGCCCUUGACUUUGGGAUAACUUCAGGAAACUGGGGCUAAUACCGGAUAGGAGCUCCUGCUGCAUGGUGGGGGUUGGAAAGUUUCGGCGGUUGGGGAUGGACUCGCGGCUUAUCAGCUUGUUGGUGGGGUAGUGGCUUACCAAGGCUUUGACGGGUAGCCGGCCUGAGAGGGUGACCGGCCACAUUGGGACUGAGAUACGGCACAGACUCCUACGGGAGGCAGCAGUGGGGAAUAUUGCACAAUGGGCGGAAGCCUGAUGCAGCAACGCCGCGUGCGGGAUGACGGCCUUCGGGUUGUAAACCGCUUUCGCCUGUGACGAAGCGUGAGUGACGGUAAUGGGUAAAGAAGCACCGGCUAACUACGUG
rnacentral:rRNA from 1 species